GACGUAGGGGGCAAGCGUUGUUCGGAAUUAUUGGGCGUAAAGCGCUCGUAGGCGGGAUUGGAAGUCCGUGUUGAAAGACCUCGGCUCAACUGAGGGACCGGCUCGGAUACUCUAAUUCUUGAGGCAAUCAGAGGAUGAUGGAAUUCCCGGUGUAGCGGUGAAAUGCGUAGAUAUCAAGAGGAACACCUGAGGGGAAGACGGGUUGCUGGGCCGACACUGACGCUGAGUGCGCGAAAGCCAGGGGAGCAAACGGG
rnacentral:rRNA from 1 species